GACGAACGCUGGCGGCGUGCUUAACACAUGCAAGUCGAACGGAAAGGCCCUGCUCUUGUGUGGUGCUCGAGUGGCGAACGGGUGAGUAACACGUGAGUAUCCUGCCCUUGACUUUGUGAUAACUUCAGGAAACUGGGGCUCAUACCGGAUAGGAGCUCCUGCUGCAUGUUGGGGGUUGGAAAGUUUCGGCGGUUGGGGAUGGACUCGCGGCUUAUCAGCUUGUUGGUGUGGUAGUGGCUUACCAAGGCUUUGACGGGUAGCCGGCAUGGGAGGGUGACCGGCCACAUUGCGACUGAGAUACGGCCCAGACUCCUACGGGAGGCAGCAGGGGGGAAUAUUGCACAAUGGGCGGAAGCCUGAUGCAGCAACGCCGCGUGCGGGAUGACGGCUUUCGGGUUGUAAACCGCUUUCGCCUGUGACGAAGCGUGAGUGACGGUAAUGGGUAAAGAAGCACCGGCUAACUACGUG
rnacentral:rRNA from 1 species